rnacentral:rRNA from 1 species
UUUCCUACGGGUGGCUGCAGUGGGGAAUUUUGGACAAUGGGCGCAAGCCUGAUCCAGCCAUUCCGCGUGCAGGACGAAGGCCUUCGGGUUGUAAACUGCUUUUGUACGGAACGAAAAGGCUCUGGCUAAUACCUGGGGCUCAUGACGGUACCGUAAGAAUAAGCACCGGCUAACUACGUGCCAGCAGCCGCGGUAAUACGUAGGGUGCAAGCGUUAAUCGGAAUUACUGGGCGUAAAGCGUGCGCAGGCGGUUAUGUAAGACAGAGGUGAAAUCCCCGGGCUCAACCUGGGAACUGCCUUUGUGACUGCAUAGCUGGAGUACGGCAGAGGGGGAUGGAAUUCCGCGUGUAGCAGUGAAAUGCGUAGAUAUGCGGAGGAACACCGAUGGCGAAGGCAGUCCCCUGGGCCUGUACUGACGCUCAUGCACGAAAGCGUGGGGAGCAAACAGGAUUAGAUACCCCAGUAGUCA